rnacentral:rRNA from 1 species
UACGAAGGGUGCAAGCGUUACUCGGAAUUACUGGGCGUAAAGCGUGCGUAGGUGGUUCGUUAAGUCUGAUGUGAAAGCCCUGGGCUCAACCUGGGAAUGGCAUUGGAUACUGGCGAUCUAGAGUGCGGUAGAGGGCAGUGGAAUUCCCGGUGUAGCAGUGAAAUGCGUAGAGAUCGGGAGGAACAUCUGUGGCGAAGGCGACUGCCUGGACCAGCACUGACACUGAGGCACGAAAGCGUGGUGAGCAAACAGG